GCCAGACUCCUACGGGAGGCAGCAGUGGGGAAUAUUGCACAAUGGGGGGAACCCUGAUGCAGCGACGCCGCGUGGGUGAAGGAGUAUUUCGGUAUGUAAAGCCCUAUCAGCAGGGAAGAACAAUGACGGUACCUGACUAAGAAGCACCGGCUAAAUACGUGCCAGCAGCCGCGGUAAUACGUAGGUGGCAAGCGUUGUCCGGAUUUACUGGGUGUAAAGGGCGUGCAGCCGGGCCGACAAGUCAGAUGUGAAAUCCGCGGGCUUAACCCGCGAACUGCAUUUGAAACUAUUGGUCUUGAGUACCGGAGAGGUCAUCGGAAUUCCUUGUGUAGCGGUGAAAUGCGUAGAUAUAAGGAAGAACACCAGUGGCGAAGGCGGAUGACUGGACGGCAACUGACGGUGAGGCGCGAAAGCGUGGGGAGCAAACAGGAUUAGAUACCCCAGUAC
rnacentral:rRNA from 1 species